rnacentral:rRNA from 1 species
UAAACUAAUAGACUUUCGGGUUUUUAACCUUUUGGAUAACCGCAGUAAAUCGGGGCUAAUACAUACAAGCGAUGGGUGACUGGCAACGGAAGCUCAGCGAUUAUUAGCAUUACUACCAAUACCUUCGGGUCUUGUGGUGAAACCGAAUAAUAUUGCAGAUCGAGGAUUUAUCUUCGACAAGUCUACUGUGUCACUGCCCUAUCAACUUUCGAUGGUACGGUAUUGGCCUACCAUGGUUGUAACGGGUAACGGGGAAUUAGGGUUCGAUUCCGGAGAGGGAGCCUGAGAAAUGGCUACCACUUCUACGGAAGGCAGCAGGCGCGCAAAUUACUCAAUCCCAAUACGGGGAAGUAGUGACAAUAAAUAUCAAUACCUAUCCUUAACGGAGGGCAAUUGAAAUGAACACAAAUUAAAACUCUUAAUUAACACAAUUGGAGGGCAAGUCUGGUGCCAGCAGCCGCGGUAAUUCCAGCUCCAAUAGCAUAUACUAAAGUUGUUGCAGUUAAAAAGCUCGUAGUUGAAGUUAAAGGUUUACUGGGCUAAAGUUAUUUGCCACUCUGGUGGUUAAAUCAACUCCAGUAUUCCUUUUUUUAAUAGCUCUGCUUCUAGCAUCUUUGAUGUUAGUUGUUUGGGCAUUUCACUGUGAGAAAAUUGUGGUGUUUAAAGCAGGCGUCUCGCCUGAUCUUUUGCAGCAUGGUAUGAUGAAACAUGACAUUUUACG